rnacentral:misc_RNA from 1 species
UGACCUCAUGAUACUUGCGGAGUCAAGGCUCUUUUUGCAGCAAGAAAACAACGUUGUCUCACGAGGUCACAGGCCGACAGCCGAACUAGCGACUGGCAGUUGUAAACAUCAGGUUGAAAACCAGCAACAAUUUAAAGAUGCAUAAAUUCAGAUUGCUUUGGGGUAUUCCCUGUGACAAUCAACUAUUCUGUUGAGAAGUGGAGACCGUCACUGGAACAACGAUCAGUGCAUUAAACCACGUGAAUAACUACAUUGUGACUGAAGACCGAGGACAAUUAAUCAGAUUUGAACAAUUAGUUUCAUUGAAGUUAAUAAGUAAACAAAGCUAACUUUAUAUCAAGAUGUCGGACACAAAUACAGAAAAAUAUGACAGUGAUGAUGAUUGGGACAUGCAGCUCUAUCCUAAAGAAAGCAACGACUCCAGCAAUGAUGCGUCAGAUGAGCGUGAGGAUACAGAGGAAAGUGAUAGUGAAGAACCUGCUAUGCCACCACCAAUGACACUGAGGCAAAGAAGACUAAGCAAAUCUGUUGCUCUGGCAUCACUUAACACUGCUCAAUCAAACUCAACUGCUAUGAAAUUAAAAAUGACCACUGCACAUGCACGAGCAAAGUUUAAUUGGGCUUUGGCUAUUAGAAAGGCAAAAUUAUUAAAUGAUCCAUGGAAAGCCUUUCAUAUUGAGGAUAUUGAUUCCGAAGUUUGUAUCAGACAUCGCUAUAACCCACAUAAAAAGACAUGGUUAACAGAUGAGGUUAAGGUCAAGAUUGAAUCCAAGUCAUUCAACAGAGGAGCAAUGAGAAAGUGUUACCGACUGAAGAAACUGUCUCAUUUCUUGAAGAACCCGGACUGGAAUCACAGUGGAAAUUAUGUGGCCAAACACUACAUACAGACAGUUGACAGAGAUGUGUAUUUCCAGGAUGUCAAACUUCAGAUGGAUGCCAAGGUUUGGGCAGAGGAGUACAACAGACACAGACCUCCAAAAAAGGUGGACAUAUUCCAGAUGUACAUCUUAGAAUUUAGGGACAGACCAGGUUCUCCCUUGUAUCACCUUGAGCACUUCAUUGAAGGUCAUUAUGUCAAGUACAACUCCAACUCUGGGUUUGUGGACGACUCCCUGCGUUACACUCCACAGGCCCUCAGUCACUUCACGUUUGAGCGAUCUGGUCACAUGCUGAUCGUUGUGGACAUACAGGGAGUCGGUGACCUUUACACUGACCCUCAGAUACACACUAUUGAGGGCAAUGAGUAUGGGGAUGGCAACCUUGGGGCUAAGGGCAUGGCCCUCUUCUUCCACUCACACAUCUGUAAUGACAUCUGCAGGAGUCUUGAUCUCACUGAGUUUGAUCUCUCACCCACGGAACUCGACUCUCACAAAGACAUUCUCCGCAAUCAGAGAAAGUCGAUGAUGAAAACAAGGUUAAGAGGGGACGAGGAACGCUGUAUUUCUCUCUCAUCUCCUGACACAAAGAUUGAUAUUACUCGUUUCUUGGAGCGCCAGCGAUCCAACUCGUCUGUGCUGAGUGACUCAGCGAUAGAUGAGGAAACUGAUGAGGGUAUGUCCAUUGACAGUCCAUCGCCGAGGGUGAGGGUCAGCCGCAUGAGGUUCAUCAGUGAAUCGGAGAGAUCAGACAAAUCAGACAGCCAAUCCUCCAUGACAGUAGAGGAGGAACGAGAGGCAUUCCAAAGAAUGGCACAGCAAAGAGCUCGGCCAUCUUGUGUUGCUAUGGAGAUUGACUUCAGGAAACUGAUGAAUGUAAGGGUCGGUGAUUCUACAUUAGGAAAGAUUCAUCAUGAGAUGGCUAAAUACCAUGAAAUAGGCAGAUUCGUGGUUGGGCAGGAGAGAAACGAGAAGGACAUUGAUUGGGAAUCAGCCAUAUUUCACGAGGAGCAUGCUGCGGAGCUGGGGGAAAUGGAGGCCAUGCUUACCCUGUCCAAACUCUAUCUGGACAUGGAGAGGGAAGUCCUGGUCAGCUGUGUUGUCAAGAAGAGUGAUGAGAACUUUAACAUAGGAGUUGACUACAUGGUGGAGGCCGCUGAGGCUGGGGACCGGGAAGCCAUGAUCUACAUGGCUAAAGCAUUCGAGACUGGCUAUGGCCUUGGCACAAAAAGGUCGAUAUCGUGGGAGGAUUCACUGUCCUGGUAUGAACGGGCUGUGGAGACCGACAACCAUGAUGAAGGAGGCGAGUACAGCUGUGCAAUGGAGGACCCUAUCCAUAUCCUCAUAGCCAAGAAGGCAGAACUGCUCCAUACAGGGGGCCAUGGGCUGGACAAGGAUCCAUCAACUGCAGGGGACUUAUACAAUGAGGCUGCAGAAGCAGCAAUGGCUGCAAUGAAGGGAAGACUGGCCAAUAAAUACUUCGCUCUGGCAGAGGAGGCCUAUGGGGAGGUCGAGGAGGAGGAGUGAGGAAGGUUGGUCUGGCUGGACAGGAAGAAGAGUGAGGGGCACUAGUCUGGCAGAGGAGGCCUACGGGGAGGUCGAGGAGGAGUGAGGAAGGUUGGUCUGGCUGGACAGGAAGAAGAGUGAGGGGCACUAGUCUGGCAGAGGAGGCCUAUGGGGAGGUCGAGGAGGAGGAGUGAGGAAGGUUGGUCUGGCUGAACAGGAAGAAGAGUGAGGGGCACUAGUCUGGCUGAGGAGGUGUACCGGAGGCCGAGGAAGGAACAGAUACAGAUGUUAAGCAUAACAAAUCAUGAAGAGUUCUGAUAGAAAAGUGAUUUCUAGUGUUUCGUCUAUCUGUAUAGUUAUGUAACUGUGUUUUGAAAUGUUUUAUGUGUAAGCUAUGGAUAACAUAGGAAGAACAGAAUGCACAAUGUAACAUUGUGGUUGUUAUACACAGUAGCAUGUGUAUUAUUAGAGACGCUGCUAUCACUAAAUCAGUGGAGUUAUUUGUGAAGGGUUACUUAAUGUAAGUCAAUUAGUUGUAUGAUAAAACAAUUUUCUACGAAAAGAUCUUUGGUGAAGGUUUUGGUAUGUUUAAUUGGUGGUGUUCCAUUCAUUGUGUACAAGGAUAGCAUUGAUAAAUCCUUUCAGUUAUUGGUUUUGUAUUGUUUUAACUGAGUUCUGAGACCGACAUGUUAAUAAAGAAUUUCAUUAGGAAAACUCUUUUAUUUAGAUGUCUUUAGCAUUAAGACUACAGUAUGAAAUAAUACACCAAUAUCAGUUAGGACUUGAUAUACUGAUCAGGUAGUCAGCAUAUUGAAUGUAUAAAACAGCUUGUUUAUCAGACAUGAGGUACAUAUUGUAUAGAACAGCUUGUUUAUCAGACAUGAGGUACAUAUUGUAUAGAACAGCUUGUUUAUCAGACAUGAGGUACAUAUUGUAUAGAACAGCUUGUUUAUCAGACAUGAGGUACAUAUUGUAUAGAACAGCUUGUUUAUCAGACAUGAGGUACAUAUUGUAUAGAACAGCUUGUUUAUCAGACAUGAGGUACAUAUUGUAUAGAACAGCUUGUUUAUCAGACAUGAGGUACAUAUUGUAUAGAACAGCUUGUUUAUCAGACAUGAGGUACAUAUUGUAUAGAACAGCUUGUUUAUCAGACAUGAGGUACAUAUUGUAUAGAACAGCUUGUUUAUCAGACAUGAGGUACAUAUUGUAUACUCUAUCCAAUCCUGUUGCCAGUUUCCCUACCACCAACCUAGAAACUGACAUAAAAACUUAAAUACGUGUGUUUAGCUAAAAUUUCAGUUCAAUAUUUUCCAAAAUGUUUUGAGACAUUUUUACAAAUUUUAUAUAAAACAUGUAUUGAUCUUCUGCACCAGUGAUAUAUUCUGUGAUAAAUCCCGGUUUUACAAUGAUAGCAAAGACAAUACUCUUGUCUUUAAUACCCGUAGUGAUCUACAAACAGACUAAUUUUCAAUGUUUUAGAAAAAGAUAUUAUAGCAAGUGAUAUUUUAUAAUGAGAUUAGUUAGUCUUCUGUGUAACCACUUUUGUAUUUGACAUUGUUUUGAAUGAAAUGUAACUGCCCUCUAAAAGUAAGUCAUGUCACCAUCUUUUAGACCUUUAUUUACAUCUGUUUGCGUGUAUCAUUCUUGAUUAUGUCCAGCAAUGAAUGAUUGACUCCAGUGUCUCAGAAUUCUCUUUUUGAAAUGUAUAUGGCUUCUAUUAUAUGAAUUUAACAAAAGAAAUAUUUCUUUGGAUGUCAUUGUAAAAACUAAAUAGAACUUAUUUUUUUGUGAAAAAAAUGUGUGAACAGACAUUUGUAAACGUUUUGGGGUUUGUUUGUUUGUUUGUGUUUUACGUCCUAUUAACAGCUGUGGUCAUUUAAGGACGUGCCAGGUUUUGGUG